GGAGGAAGCCCCGGCUAACUCCGUGCCAGCAGCCGCGGUAAUACGGAGGGGGCAAGCGUUGUUCGGAUUUACUGGGCGUAAAGGGUGUGUAGGCGGUUGCGUAAGUCUGGUGUGAAAUCUUCAUCGCUCAACGGGAAGAGGUCACUGGAAACUGCGUAACUCGAGUAUGGUAGAGGCAAGCGGAAUUCCUGGUGUAGCGGUGGAAUGUGUAGAUAUCAGGAAGAACAUCUGUGGCGAAGGCGGCUUGCUGGGCCAUCACUGACGCUGAGACACGAAAGCGUGGGGAGCAAACGGGAUUAGAUACCCCGGUAGUCCACGCCAUAAACGGUGCGCACUAGGUGUGGGAGGUAUCGACCCCUCCUGUGCCGAAGCUAACGCAUUAAGC
rnacentral:rRNA from 1 species